rnacentral:rRNA from 1 species
UACGGAGGGUGCAAGCGUUAUCCGGAUUUACUGGGUUUAAAGGGUGUGUAGGCGGGCCAUUAAGUCAGUGGUGAAAUCUCCGGGCUCAACCUGGAAACUGCCAUUGAUACUAUUAGUCUUGAAUUCUGUUGAGGUGGGCAGAAUAUGUCAUGUAGCGGUGAAAUGCAUAGAUAUGACAUAGAAUACCAAUUGCGAAGGCAGCUCACUAAGCAGAUAUUGACGCUGAGGCACGAAAGCGUGGGGAUCAAACAGG